UAGACAACCAGGUGAGGAGAGUUCCUUACUAAGACCUAGACAACCAGGUGAGGAGAGUUCCUUACUAAGACCUAGACAACCAGGUGAGGAGAGUUCCUUACUAAGACCUAGACAACCAGGUGAGGAGAGUUCCUUACUAAGACCUAGACAACCAGGUGAGGAGAGUUCCUUACUAAGACCUAGACAACCAGGUGAGGAGAGUUCCUUACUAAGACCUAGACAACCAGGUGAGGAGAGUUCCUUACUAAGACCUAGACAACCAGGUGAGGGGAGUUCCUUACUAAGACCUAGACAACCAGGUGAGGAGAGUUCCUUACUAAGACAACCAGGUGAGGAGAGUUCCUUACUAAGACCUAGGCA